ensembl:lncRNA
AUGUCGCCUGGAGUGGUGGCCAGCAUGGUGGGUGGGUGGGUGGAGGACCUGGACCCUGGGUGGCCGGCCACCUGGCCUUUCCCCCUGAGCCCCCCAGCCCCGUGGGAACCCUCAACAGCCCACCUGCAGGACAUGCGCGCCCCUCCCCAAUGCAUCCGUGGCCCUGGCCCCCCACUCCCUCCCCGUCCCUCCCUGCCUGGCCCUCGCCAGUCUCACAACUCGGAUACGGCAGCCCUGGCCUGGCCCAGCCCUGACCUGUGGCACCAGCCUCCCUCUGCAGGGCCCAGCAUCUCCACCACUGGCACACAGGAGGACACCCAUCGGGGACCCUGCGUUUGCCUCCCACUCUGGGCAGCCGUGUCCCCCCGCAGAGCCCAGCCUCGUCGCCCAGGACGUCCCCACCACUGUGGCCCCACUCUGCCACGUGAGGCUCUCAGACACCACUUGGAGACUCUCCUGGCCCCAUCCACCAGGGGACAGCAGCACCGCGUGCCCAGGAUGGCGGGGCUGCGGAACAGGUCACACGUGUGUGUCCUGAGGCCUGGCGCAUCGGGGACUGAGCAUCUCGUCCUCGGAGGGGUCCAGGCAGCCACUGGUGAGGACGCGGUGGACACCUGGAGCAGGACAGGCCAUCCAUCCGCGAUGCUCCCAGCACUCGAGCUCCCCAUCCCCAGCACGGCCGGCGGAGGAAGAAGGGCCCACUCUGGUCUCGGGUCUCGGGUCUCAGGUCCCCGUCUCCGUCAGGGGGGCCUCACCGGGCAGCCGCCCUCCCUGCCAGGGCUGCAGCUGCUCAAGCUGAGGGCGAAGGGAGCCGAGGGCCAGACCCCAAGAUGCUCCGCAUCCUCUGUCCCUCUGAAGCUGGUGUCACGGGGCAGACAAGGAGAAAGACAAGAAGGAAACCUUUGCCAUGGGACACGCCAUCAAGGACCAGAGCCCCAUCACCAUGAGGAAGCCCGGCCCAUCCCGAUGGAUGAGGCCCAACCAGGACCCAGGACAUCCCGGCUCCCUCACCCCCUGCCCCUCAGAGUCACACGCUCCCUGCCCCCUCCCGGAAUGCCCGCGGCCCCACCUCCUGCGAAUACACCACUCCUCCAGGCAUCUGCCCUGUUUGCUUCUCACAGUCCCUGGGCUGGCUCCUCCUCUGGCUUCAGGGGCCUGGCGCGACGGCAAGUCCUGGCAGUGACAAGGCUUUGAUGCAAAUAAAAGGAACUCGGAGCAGCUAAGGAAAGAGGGC